GUUGAUAAGGUUAAGUGAAUAAGGGCGCACGGUGGAUGCCUUGGCACUAGGAGCCGAUGAAGGACGGGACUAACACCGAUAUGCUUUGGGGAGCUGUACGUAAGCUAUGAUCCAGAGAUUUCCGAAUGGGGGAACCCAACAUCUUUAAUAGGAUGUUACGAUUGUGUGAAUACAUAGCACAUUCGAGGUAGACGCAGAGAACUGAAACAUCUAAGUACCUGCAGGAAGAGAAAGAAAAUUCGAUUCCCUGAGUAGCGGCGAGCGAAACGGGAAAAGCCCAAACCAGCAAGCUUGCUUGUUGGGGUUGUAGGACUCCAAUAUGGUAGUUCUUUCAGAUAGUCGAAUGACUUGGAAAAGUCAGUCAAAGAGGGUAAAAACCCCGUAGACGAAAUGUGGAAGACACCUAGGAGGAUCCUGAGUACGGCGGAACACGAGAAAUUCCGUCGGAAUCCGGGAGGACCAUCUCCCAAGGCUAAAUACUCCCUAGUGACCGAUAGUGAACCAGUACCGUGAGGGAAAGGUGAAAAGCACCCCGGAAGGGGAGUGAAAUAGAACCUGAAACCGUGUGCCUACAACAAGUCAAAGCCCGUUAAUGGGUGAUGGCGUGCCUUUUGUAGAAUGAACCGGCGAGUUACGAUUGCAUGCGAGGUUAAGUUGAAGAGACGGAGCCGCAGCGAAAGCGAGUCUGAAUAGGGCGUUUGAGUAUGUAGUCGUAGACCCGAAACCAUGUGAUCUACCCAUGUCCAGGUUGAAGGUGCGGUAAAACGCACUGGAGGACCGAACCCACGUACGUUGAAAAGUGCGGGGAUGAGGUGUGGGUAGCGGAGAAAUUCCAAACGAACUUGGAGAUAGCUGGUUCUCUCCGAAAUAGCUUUAGGGCUAGCCUCGGAAUUGAGAAUGAUGGAGGUAGAGCACUGUUUGGACUAGGGGCCCAUCUCGGGUUACCGAAUUCAGAUAAACUCCGAAUGCCAUUCAUUCAUAUCCGGGAGUCAGACUGUGAGUGAUAAGAUCCAUAGUCGAAAGGGAAACAGCCCAGACCACCAGCUAAGGUCCCAAAAUAUAUGUUAAGUGGAAAAGGAUGUGGGGUUGCACAGACAACUAGGAUGUUGGCUUAGAAGCAGCCACCAUUUAAAGAGUGCGUAAUAGCUCACUAGUCGAGUGACCCUGCGCCGAAAAUGUACCGGGGCUAAACAUAUUACCGAAGCUGUGGAGUACACCUUUAGGUGUAUUGGUAGGAGAGCGUUCUAAGGGCGUUGAAGGCAGAUCGUGAGGACUGCUGGAGCGCUUAGAAGUGAGAAUGCCGGUAUGAGUAGCGAAAGACAGGUGAGAAUCCUGUCCACCGAAUGA
rnacentral:rRNA from 1 species